UACGUAGGGGGCAAGCGUUGUCCGGAUUUAUUGGGCGUAAAGAGCUCGUAGGCGGCUGUCCACGUCGGGUGUGAAAGCUCAGAGCUCAACUCUGAGACGCCAUUCGAUACGGGACGGCUAGAGGCAGGUAGGGGAGAUUGGAAUUCCUGGUGUAGCGGUGAAAUGCGCAGAUAUCAGGAGGAACACCGGUGGCGAAGGCGGAUCUCUGGGCCUUGCCUGACGCUGAGGAGCGAAAGCUGGGGGAGCGAACAGG
rnacentral:rRNA from 1 species